UACGGGAGGCAGCGGUGGGGAAUAUUGCACAAUGGGCGCAAGCCUGAUGCAGCCAUGCCGCGUGUAUGAAAAAGGCCUUCGGGUUGUAAAGUACUUUCAGUCGUGAGGAAGGUGUUAAGGUUAAUAACCUUAGCAAUUGACGUUAGCGACAGAAGAAGCACCGGCUAACUCCGUGCCAGCAGCCGCGGUAAUACGGAGGGUGCGAGCGUUAAUCGGAAUUACUGGGCGUAAAGGGCACGCAGGCGGUUAAUUAAGUUGGAUGUGAAAUCCCCGGGCUUAACCUGGGAAUGGCAUUCAAGACUGGUUAGCUAGAGUCUUGUAGAGGGGGGUAGAAUUCCAUGUGUAGCGGUGAAAUGCGUAGAGAUGUGGAGGAAUACCGGUGGCGAAGGCGGCCCCUGGACAAGACUGACGCUCAUGUGCGAAAGCGUGGGGAGCAAACGAGGGAUUAGAUACCCGU
rnacentral:rRNA from 1 species